rnacentral:rRNA from 1 species
GUGUUGCAUGGCUGUCGUCAGCUUCCGUGUCGUGAGAUGUUGGGUUAAGUCCCGCAACGAGCGCAACCCUUAUCCUUAGUUGCUAUCAGGUAAUGCUGAGUACUUUAAGGAAACUGCCAGUGAUAAGCUGGAGGAAGGUGGGGAUGAUGUCAAGUCAUCAUGGCCUUUAUGGAGUGGGCUACACACGUGCUACAAUGGUGUCUACAAUGGGCUGCAAGGUGCGCAAGCCUAAGCUAAUCCCUAAAAGACAUCUCAGUUCGGAUUGUACUCUGCAACUCGAGUACAUGAAGUUGGAAUCGCUAGUAAUCGUGGAUCAGCAUGCCACGGUGAAUACGUUCUCGGGUCUUGUACACACUGCCCGUCACGCCAUGGGAAUUGGU